rnacentral:rRNA from 1 species
GGUAGCAUAAUCAUUAGUCUCCUAAUUAGAGGCUUGUAUGAAUGGUUGGACAAGAUGGGAACUGUCUCAAUAUAAAAGAUGAAAAUUAAUAUUUAAGUAAAAAAGCUUAAAUAAAAUAGAGGGACGAUAAGACCCUAUAAAGCUUUAUAAUACAUUUCUUUUACAUAAAUUAUUAAUUAUUAACUUGUUAAAGAAAUAAUAUUAUUUUACUGGGGCGGUAAAAGUAUAUUUUAUUUGAACAACUGCUUUUGUUUUAAAAAACAAUUAUAAUUGAACAACUCAUUGAUCCAUUAAUAAUGAUCAUAAGGCCAAGUUACUUUAGGGAUAACAGCGUAAUUUUUCUUGAGAGUUCUAAUCGAAAGAAAAGUUUGCGACCUCGAUGUUGAAUUAAGGAAGCCUUAAGGUGCAGCAGUUUUAAUAGGCAGAUCUGUUCGAUCUUUAAACCUUUACAUGAUUUG